rnacentral:rRNA from 1 species
CCUACGGGAGGCAGCAGUGGGGAAUAUUGGUCAAUGGGCGCAAGCCUGAACCAGCCAAGUAGCGUGGAGGAUGACUGUCCUACGGGUGGUAAACUUCUUUUAUAGAGGAGUAAAUUACGGCACGUGUGCCUUUUUCUCUGUACUUUAUUGAUACGGCUCGGCUAACUCCGUGCCAGCUGCCGCGGUAAUACGGAGGAUCCGAGCGUUAUCCGGGUUUAGUGGGGUUAAAGGGAGCGUAGAUGGGUUGUUAAGUCAGUUGUGAAAGCUUGCGGCUCAACCGUAAAACUGCAAUUGAAACUGGCAGUCUUGAGUACAGUAGAGGUAGGUGGAAUUCGUGGUGUAGCGGUGAAAUGCGUAGAGAUCAAGAAGAAUACCGAUUGCGAAGGCAGCCUACUAAACCGCAACUGACACUGAUGCUCGAAAGUGUGGGUAGCAAACAGGAUUAGAUACCCUAGUAGUC